UACUUGCUUUUACAAGGCGAAACCGCGAAUGGCUCAUUAAAUCAGUUAUGGUUCAUUAGAUCGUAAAUUUUACACGGAUAACUGUGGUAAUUCUAGAGCUAAUACGUGCAAUUAGCUCGCUUCCUUGUGGAGCGAGCGCAGUUAUUAGAUCAAAACCAAUCCGGCCUUCGGGUCGGUACAAUUGGUGACUCUGAAUAACCGAAGCGGAGCGCAUGGUCUCGUACCGGCGCCAGAUCUUUCAAGUGUCUGACUUAUCAGCUUGUUGUUAGGUUACGUUCCUAACAAGGCUUCAACGGGUAACGGGGUAUCAGGGUCCGAUACCGGAGAGGGAGCCUGAGAAACGGCUACCACAUCCAAGA
rnacentral:rRNA from 1 species